rnacentral:pre_miRNA from 1 species
CCUUCACCACGGACGGGCUAGGGGAACGUUGUCUGUAUCACGACACGGACAGCGUCAUUUUCUUACACCGCCCUGGAGAGUG